UACAGAGGUGCCGAGCGUUAGGCGGAAUCACUGGGCUUAAAGCGUGUGUAGGCGGACUUCUAAGUACCUUGUGAAAUCCCACGGCUCACCCGUGGAACUGCUGGGUAUACUGGUCGUCUUGAGCCACCUAGGGGCCAGCGGAACAAAUGGUGGAGCGGUGAAAUGCGUAGAUAUCAUUUGGAACGCCAACGGUGAAAACAGCUGGCUGGGGGUGUGCUGACGCUGAGACACGAAAGCCAGGGGAGCGAACGGG
rnacentral:rRNA from 1 species